UACGUAGGGGGCAAGCGUUGUCCGGGAUAAUUGGGCGUAAAGGGCGUGUAGGCGGAUACAUAAGUCGGGCGUAAAAGGCGCGGGCUCAACCCGUGUAAGCGUUCGAAACGGUGUAUCUUGAGUGCAGUAGAGGAGAGCGGAAUUUCUGGUGUAGCGGUGGAAUGCGUAGAUAUCAGAAGGAACACCGGUGGCGAAGGCGGCUCUCUGGACUGUUACUGACGCUGAGGCGCGAAGGCGUGGGGAGCAAACAGGAUUAGAUACCCUGGUAGUCCACGCGGUAAACGAUGAGUGCUAGGUGUAGGGAUGCUCAGCAUCUUUGUGCCGAAGGAAACCCAUUAAGCACUCCGCCUGGGGAGUACGGUCGCAAGGCUGAA
rnacentral:rRNA from 1 species